GUACUUACCUGGCAAGGGAGACAUCAUUAUCAUGAAGGUGGUUUUCCCAGGGAGAGGCUUAUCCAUUGCACUCCGGAUGUGUUGACCCAUGCAAUUUACCCAAAUGUGGGAAACUGGGAUGCAUAAUUUGUGGUAGUGGGGACUGUGUUUGCACUCUCCCCUG
ensembl:snRNA U1 U1 spliceosomal RNA